rnacentral:rRNA from 1 species
UUAGGAUUAAGCCAUGCAUGUCUAAGUAUAAGCUCUUGUACGGCUAGACUGCAGACGGCUCAUUACAACGGUUGUAUCUUCCAGGGCAUCCGGGUCGCAAGACCUUCUGGAUAACCGCAGUAAAUCGGGGCUAAUACAUACAAACGGAGGGAUGGAGAGGGCAACCUUGAAGUUUCUGCGAUGGACAAUUAGUUAUUCGACCAACCCCGCAAGGGAAUGGUUGGAACCGGUUCAUAUUGCUAAUCGACUCUAGCUUGCUAGUAGUCUGAUAAGCCCUAUAGACAACCGCCCUAUCAACUUGAUGGUAAGGUUUUGGCUUACCAUGGUUGUAACGGGUAACGGGGAAUCAGGGUUCGAUUCCGGAGAGGACGCCUGAGAAACGGCGUCCACAUCUACGGGUGGCAGCAGGCGCGUAAAUUGCCCAAUCUCAACAGAGAGGAGGCGGUGACAAUAAAUCCCGAUGGCUUUGGGGGCAACCCCAGGCUAAUCAGAAUAAGUACACAUUAAAUCCCUUAACCAAUAUAAUUGGAGGGCAAGUCUGGUGCCAGCAGCCGCGGUAAUUCCAGCUCCAAUAGCAUAUACUAAUGUUGUUGCAGUUAAAACGCUCGUAGCUUAAUAUCUUUUGAGCUACUAUCGACUGUUUCCUUCUGAUUCUUCGGAUGAGGAAGAGCAGUCGGCUCAAACACUGUAGGUCAUGCGGCUAGCAAUAGUUGCAUAAUCGACUGUGCAUAAACCUUGAUGCUCAAGGUAGGCCUUUAUAGGGUAGAUACACAGUGCAUGGCAUUGUGGAACAAGGCAUCUCGCG